UUCACCGGACGGGUCUGGAGGGGGAGGGGAAGAGAGUCUGCUCUGCGCAGACCCGCGGAAGCAAGGGGCCAGAAGAGGGAGGGGUGUGUUUGGGGUCAGUUCUAGGCUUUGACUGUUGGUUUUCCCGUGCAGGAUAAAGCUGAGACCCUGGAGCGAUCGAUACUGACAUGAAAUCCACACAGAAACAGGCAGGAUCCACCCAGGGCGGAGGGGAAGGGGAAAGGGAAGGGGUCAGGGCUAGGUAACAGGAGUGAUCCACCCCCCAGCUCGGGAUUUCCUCCCCGUCCGGAGGUGGGGUCAGUGGUGAGACAGAGAAGCCCAACACUGUGUGUUCAGAGUCGGGAUGAGUCUACCUCUCACCUAGGUCUCUGGGAUGAGGGCCCCACAGUGGGACGUGGUGUGAUCUCUGCUGCUGGGGGGACCAAAGUCCUGGGGGGGGGCCAUAAGCAUUUUCACUGAGGCAGGACACCAACAGCUGCUCCCUCUGUCCAGGAUAAAACCUCGUUCUUACUCUGAGACCCUCUAAAUCUGGGGUUUUCACUGCAAUUCUAGGUAUCUUCAUGGGGAAGAAAUUUAGGGAAUGGGAUAGGAAUGCCUCUUCUCUCCCUCUCCCUGGAAGGUAGGACAGGCCAGGGGCUGCUGGGGUGGAUUCCCUGGCCAUUAAAAAGAUUAGUCCAGGCUGCUUAGAUUGAAGCAACAGGCUGAGUUAACCAGGGAGCGACGCUUGAUUGUUCCUUAUAAGCCAGCCUGGGUCCAGAGCUUGGCAGUUCCGUGUGGAUCAUCUUCACUUUGGACAACGUGUCAGUCACGGCUAUGCAAAAGGCGGGCUUCACAGAGAUCUUUUCAAACCUGCUCCCGAGCAUUUUCUUUGGAAACAUGGUCCCACAGUGGUGAGGUCCAGAGGGCGGUUUCUUUGGCGUGUUUUCCAUCUUCUUCUCCUUAGCCACUUGGGUCCUCACACGGACCAGUAUCUCUGGAGACCUCAAGGUGAGAACCACGCUGAGGUAUGGCGCAUACCCAUCACCUGCCCCCUUCUCUUACCACUAGGGUUCUACUUUUGCUUCCAGGACCCUGCUACAGCUAUCCUUGCCAUCAUACAGACACACUUUCCUACCUGGAGAUUUUUGCCACAAGUGGUAAACCUUCUGUGCAGAAUGACCUGGAGCCCUGCUUUCUGCCUCUCUGAGGGCCAAGGGUAUAGGUGAUGAAAUGAGCAAGAGACAUCAUCAAUCACAUUAAAAGUAGUUUAAAUGCAGGUAGCCCCUCACCUUCCUUCGCCAUGUCUCCCCAUCCCUCAUGUCACUAAAAAAUUGUGUGGUGUUCUUUGAUUAUCAAAUUUGGCAUCCCCAGCAUCUGGGUGGCUUAGUCGAUUGUCUGCCUUCAGCUCAGGUCAUGAUCCCAGGCUUCUGGGAUGGAACCCUGUGUGGGGCUCCUGACUCAGCAGAGAGCCUGCUUCUCCCUCUUCCCCUCCCCCCUGCUCGUGCGCUCUCUUGCUCUCUAAUACAUAAAAAUCUUAAAAAAAAAAAAUUGGCAUGUCCCCCUCCCCACCCUCACACACCUCCCAUUCCCCCCUUUGGCACUGGUGGUGCCUAGACAGUCCUACUGCUCUGGGGUGUGAUUCUCUCUCCACAAAGGAAUGUGUGUUCCCAAUCUCAUUUCCAGGCUCCUGUAUGAUUGGAGAAGCUCCAGGAAGUAGGACUGACGUUGGGUGUGGAAUGGGAGCUGCCUGGGGCCAGAGUGCCAGUAAGGCUAGGAUUUCCACAGCUGUCCAGAGCAAGGGUCCUGCCUGAAUGCCCUCUCUAAGCACCAUCAGGAAUAUCUCACUAAAAAAAGAAAAAACGCUGAACGAAGACUUAAAGAUUGAGCUGACGCGGCAAGCUCUAGCUGGGGAAGAGCUUUCCAGGCAGAGGGAGCUGCAAGUAUGAAGACCUUGAGGACCGGCACAUCUUCCGUGUGUAAGGAAAAACGAAAAGGCCGCUGUUGCUGGAGCAGAGUGAACAAGGAAGAAGCCUAUAACUUACCAACCCAGCAAGAGGAAGAGAUUUUCCAGCCAAUGAAAAGCCACUACACUUGAAACUCUCGGUUUACUUCAAUGGACUUUUUGGACUUUUUAAGAUUUUUUUUUUAAGUCUUAUUUAAGUCUUAAAAAUGGGGCUCAAAUUUACAACCCCAAGAUCAAGAGUCACACACUCUUCAACUGAGCCAGCCAAGCACCCCAUCAAUGGACUUUUUAAAAUUAGAGCCCCUUCCUAACUACCC